CAAUAUAAAUAGAGAGAGCUAUGCGUCAACAUAGCCCUCAAUGUAGAACCGUUUAAAGACGGUGGCUAGAAUUAAAUAGUUAUCAAAAA
rnacentral:sRNA from 1 species